GAUGAACGCUGGCGGUAUGCCUAACACAUGCAAGUCGUACGAGAGUUUUUAACUCUAGUGGCGGACGGGUGAGUAACACGUGAGAAUUUGCCUUUAGGAGGGGGACAACAAUUGGAAACGAAUGCUAAUACCCCAUAUGCUUUCGAGUGAAAUGGAUUUUAUCCGCCUAGAGAGAAGCUCGCGGCUGAUUAGCUUGUUGGUAAGGUAAGAGCUUACCAAGGCGACGAUCAGUAUCUGGUUUGAGAGGACGAUCAGACACACUGGAACUGAGACACGGUCCAGACUCCUACGGGAGGCAGCAGUGGGGAAUUUUCCGCAAUGGGCGAAAGCCUGACGGAGCAAUACCGCGUGAGGGAAGAAUGCCUAUGGGUUGUAAACCUCUUUCUUCAGGGAGGAAUAAAAUGACGUGUACCUGAAGAAUAAGCAUCGGCUAACUCCGUG
rnacentral:rRNA from 1 species